rnacentral:rRNA from 2 species
ACUUUCAACAACGGAUCUCUUGGUUCUGGCAUCGAUGAAGAACGCAGCGAAAUGCGAUAAGUAAUGUGAAUUGCAGAAUUCAGUGAAUCAUCGAAUCUUUGAACGCACAUUGCGCCCCUUGGUAUUCCGAGGGGCAUGCCUGUUCGAGCGUCAUUAC